AGUGAACGCUGGCGGUAGGCCUAACACAUGCAAGUCGAACGGCAGCACAGUAAGAGCUUGCUCUUACGGGUGGCGAGUGGCGGACGGGUGAGGAAUACAUCGGAAUCUACUUUUUCGUGGGGAUAACGUAGGGAAACUUACGCUAAUACCGCAUACGACCUACGGGUGAAAGCAGGGGAUCUUCGGACCUUGCGCGAUUGAAUGAGCCGAUGUCGGAUUAGCUAGUUGGCGGGGUAAAGGCCCACCAAGGCGACGAUCCGUAGCUGGUCUGAGAGGAUGAUCAGCCACACUGGAACUGAGACACGGUCCAGACUCCUACGGGAGGCAGCAGUGGGGAAUAUUGGACAAUGGGCGUAAGCCUGAUCCAGCCAUACCGCGUGGGUGAAGAAGGCCUUCGGGUUGUAAAGCCCUUUUGUUGGGAAAGAAAAGCAGCAGGUUAAUACCCCGCUGUUCUGACGGUACCCAAAGAAUAAGCACCGGCUAACUUCGUG
rnacentral:rRNA from 1 species